GCCGAAGUGGUGGAACCUGGUAGACACGCUAUCUUGAGGGGGUAGUGGGCGACAGCCCGUGGGGGUUCAAGUCCCCCCUUCGGCACCA
rnacentral:tRNA from 1 species